GAACAGGGGAGCUUGUGUAACAGGCUGAGAGGAAAUUCAGAAUUUCGACCCUUAUACCUGAUUUGGAUAAUGCCAACGUAGGAACGGAUCAUAA
rnacentral:ncRNA from 1 species